CAGAGCAGGCCUUCACCCCCGCCCCUCCCCCGGCCUCCCCGCGGGCCAGGGGGACGCGGUCGCCAGCCGGUUGGGUGAUUAACUCACCGUUUGUCUCUCGGAAAGUGUUCCAGGUGGAUCAGGAACACCCACCCGCCCGCCGCUCCGCGCCGCGCCGCCUCCGGGAGACAGGAUCGAGCGUCACAUGGCGCGGGCCGAGCCGGCCUUUGUGCAGCGCGGCCGCCCCGCCGCCCCGGGGAGGCGGCGGCUAUUGUUUCCCGCGGGGGUGGGAGGUGCUCGGACUCGGGGUCCACGCCAGCCCCCUACCCAGUGUGUCCCCAGGUUCGAGGAUGGGUGGGGGCCUCCUUUGUGUGUUUUCUGCCGGCGGCGGAGAUGGCAUCGUUGCUGCCCCAAGAGUUAUUCUUCUUCCGUGAAAAUGACCCAGACUAGAUAUAGGAACCAGUCAAGAUAUUUUGCCACAAGACCUGGGACAAGAAGACUUCCAUCAUAUCUCCCACCAUGCUGAUCUCCUGGGGACCCUUCACCUGUUUCUGCUACUGCAAAUGACUGGACAUGCAUUUAUUUACCUUGGUUCUUCCUGCAUGUGUGGAAACCUUUUGUUCACUGUGCUUCAGGCUGGACCGGGCCUGAAAUUUCUGAAAGAAGGAGCAGAGUAAGGCCAAGAGUUGCCAGAUGAAGAGGACCUUCCUGGAUCUAACUGGGAUUAACCCAUUCUUGACUUCAGGAGGAAGUUUCAACUAAUUCUCAGGAUAAAGUCAAAACAGGCCUGUGACUGUUCCUUGAAUAUUCAUGGUGUAAACAAGCUUCUGGCUCCCCCAGGUCAAGCAGAGAAACACUUAUUAGAAUGUUGGGUUUCUUCUUUGUUAUUCAAACAUACACCCACACACAUCCUCUUCACCCUCCCUAAUGAAAAACCUCAACAGAUGGGGAGCCUAGGCUCCCAAGCCUGCUGGCUGAGAAGAUCACUUCACUCAGGGUCAGUUGGCUGGUACAGAAUGGGGGGAGGGAGAAGGGACGAGUAGCUAGUAUAGUUAAUCACUAUUUUUUAAUACUCCUUACAGAUAGAAAUUCAAAAAAUCCUUUUCAGCAAGGUUAGCAGCCUCCGGGGCCUGGGAAACUAAUUUGGCUGAUGUGUCUCCGAUAGGGACUAGGCUUGGGUUGCUCCAAGGGGAAAGCACUUGCUCUAUAUUCUCUCCCCCUCUCAUCUGAACGCCUGUACAAAGAAAUGGUACAAAUGGAUGGUUAACUUAAUGAUUCCAUCAGAGGCGGAUUCUUCUCUGUCAGGUCGCUGGGUAAGGCUGAGGUCUGAAAGCCAGGAGGUAGAAUGUGUAGUCGCCCUUUCUUGCCACCUUUCCAGGGGCCAGGACUACUCUUCAGGCCUUUCCUCGGCCACUUCCCCACCCCCCUGGCUAGCGCAGUUGGGUCUUCUGACUCCACUCCAUGCUGGGUCCUGAGUUUCUCCUCGUAGCCAGGGCAGGCUCUCCCUCGGCCGAAAUCUUUUCCCACCCCACCUCCCAUUUUGCAGCUAGCCAUUCCAGCUACCUCACCUCAGCGCUGCUUUAAUUCACGUUUGACUGUCUCGACGGAACAACCAGGGGCUCCCGAAUGACCGCCACCCCCCAUCCGUGGGCCUGGGCUUGAGGCCCCGAGCCCUUUCUUCAGGUCCCAGGAGACUCCCCCACAAACUCCCUGAUCCCACCUCCCUCAAAGCGGUCUGUGUAGGAAAAAGGCAGAGCUGGCCACGGCCACAGCCCGAGAGCCAUUUCCUCCUCUUGCGCAGGCGAGGUAAAGCCUCCUCGAGCCCAAAGCCCGGAGAGAGGCCGGCCCCUCACCACCUGCCGGUGUCGGCCCCCGCGCCGCCUUUGUGCGGCCUCCCCGCCGCGGGGCCCGUGGGAAGCCGCGCGCACAAUGGCGCCGCCGCUCCCGGAAGACCCGCUGCUCCGGGCGCCCUGGACCCAGCGCCCGGUAGCGAGGGGCCAGCAGCCUCGAGGCCGUGGUGAGCUCCCCACGGCCCCCCGCGCGCCGCUCCCGGGAAGAAGCCUCGGUCUGGGAUGGCGGUUUCCUUCCGCUGCAAAUUUCCCUCUUCCCGCUGCAGUCCUCUCCGGGAGAAGGAGAGGCCUGGACCCGGAGCGCCAGGCCGGGCCCAGGGCUCCCCUCCCCCACUCUUCUUUCUCUGCUGUUCCGAGACCCGGGAGGGAGGAGGCGGGCGCCUUCGCCGAUAGAGCAGCUAUUGUGACCUUCCCUCGCAGAGCGGGAAGCCAGCCGGGUGUGUACCGCCGGCGGUGGCGGGGGAGGAGGCGACUGUGUGCAAACUUCGGGGUGCGGAGGGGGUGGCACUGGGAAAUAAAGGUUUGCAACCUCGGGCAUUGGAGCCCUUCAGAGGGCGUUUGGUUGUGUUUAGACUCCGGUGCUUCCUAACACUAAUUGCAGGCUCAAAAGCAGCAGAAUUUAUGGCGAAGGCCAAGGCGGCUUGUUUAUAAUUUAUGAAGUUUUAAAUGGCCGUGCGCGGGCCCCCGCUCUCGCCCUGGCCGGCGGCCGCGCCGGAAGCGCCCUCCCCAGACUCGCCGCCGCCCGCACUCGCGCCGGGAGCCACCGAGUGUGGCCAUCCCAUGACGCUCACGCCAGUGGCAGGAACGGAUCCAUCCGAGCCGCCCUCAGAAGCCUCGGGAACCUUUCUCCAGAGGUGAGAGAGGACCGCAGGUUUGUCCCAAGAGAACUCCCACCCCUCUAGCGAGGGGUGCUUCGGGGCGGCGGCGGCUGCCUGGAGAGGGAGCCCCCAGCCCCGCGCUUCUUUGAGCCCGAGUGUGAGAGGAGGCUGAUGUCAGCCGGGCUAGACACCGUUUAAAAUCUAAUCCAUGAAACGCUAAGCCGCAGAUGACACUUGGGGCCUAGCAGACACCCGCAGACUCAGCAGAUACUCCUGCGGUAACACACCGCGCUGGAAAACGCCUGGAGCCAUGAUGCAUUAUGUAUUUUUAUUAUUAUUUAUGGUGGGAAGAGGAGAUGAGGGAAAACCGGGCUGAAUCUAAACAGCCUGACAAUUCAUCUGUUUAAUAUUUAGCCAGUUAAGAAGGGUUGUUGUAAUCCCUGCAAGGCAGCAAGCUCUUCUUUGAUUUCCCUAAUAGCUUUAAAAAAUAAUUUCUUACAAGACAAUUAGAAAUUCUGCCUAUGGAUGCAAAUUUCACAGAAAAACAAUUUUAAUAAGCCUUGAAAGUGGGUAAAAUAUCCCUUCGGUUGAAGUCAUUUAUUCUGUUGAUACACUUCUACAACAUGUAUACUUUAAACCUGCUCGGAUGAAGUGAAAUUUAGCAUAAAGGAUAAUCCCCUCCCACCCCCAAUCUAACAUGCCAUUUUAAAAACAGCACAGAGGAACAAGGAAACUAAAUAUUAUUUUCAGCCAUCACUAUUUAGCGAAACACAAACAUCCAAAUAGAAACGAUUGUUGUUCCACCAGAAGAUUAGAAGUUAAAUUAUUUCCACACAAUAGGAAUUUCACCUCGUGUCACCGGGGAUGUAGUAGGAGUUGCAUUAUUUGUCAAACCAAAUAGAGAUGCGUGGGCCCACUUUGCUGAAAUACAAAAGAAUUGAAUCUUAUCUGAAGGCGCUCUCCGAGUGCCUCCUUCUAGAGAAGCGGGUGUAAGUAGUGCGCCCCAGCUAAAGCCACACUAAUAUUUACAAAAUGGUUAUAAAUCCUCGAAGACAUUUUGCCCAUUUUGUACAAAGAAGCAGGAGUAAACAAAGUGUUUAUACUUGUUA